rnacentral:rRNA from 1 species
AAUACAUGCAAGUCGAACGAUGAAGCUUUUAGCUUGCUAGAAGUGGAUUAGUGGCGCACGGGUGAGUAAUGCAUAGGUUAUGUGCCCUUUAGUCUGGGAUAGCCACUGGAAACGGUGAUUAAUACUAGAUACUCCCUACGGGGGAAAGUUUUUCGCUAAAGGAUCAGCCUAUGUCCUAUCAGCUUGUUGGUGAGGUAAUGGCUCACCAAGGCUAUGACGGGUAUCCGGCCUGAGAGGGUGAUCGGACACACUGGAACUGAGACACGGUCCAGACUCCUACGGGAGGCAGCAGUAGGGAAUAUUGCUCAAUGGGGGAAACCCUGAAGCAGCAACGCCGCGUGGAGGAUGAAGGUUUUCGGAUUGUAAACUCCUUUUGUUAGAGAAGAUAAUGACGGUAUCUAACGAAUAAGCACCGGCUAACUCCGUGCCAGCAGCCGCGGUAAUACGAAGGGUGCAAGCGUUACUCGGAAUCACUGGGCGUAAAGAGCGCGUAGGCGGGGUAGUAAGUCAGAUGUGAAAUCCUAUGGCUUAACCAUAGAACUGCAUUUGAAACUACUACUCUAGAGUAUGGGAGAGGUAGGUGGAAUUCUUGGUGUAGGGGUAAAAUCCGUAGAGAUCAAGAGGAAUACUCAUUGCGAAGGCGACCUGCUGGAACAUUACUGACGCUGAUGCGCGAAAGCGUGGGGAGCAAACAGGAUUAGAUACCCUGGUAGUCCACGCCCUAAACGAUGAAUGCUAGUUGUUGUGAGGCUUGUCCUUGCAGUAAUGCAGCUAACGCAUUAAGCAUUCCGCCUGGGGAGUACGGUCGCAAGAUUAAAACUCAAAGGAAUAGACGGGGACCCGCACAAGCGGUGGAGCAUGUGGUUUAAUUCGAAGAUACGCGAAGAACCUUACCUAGGCUUGACAUUGAUAGAAUCUGCUAGAGAUAGCGGAGUGCUGGCUUGCCAGAGCUUGAAAACAGCUGCACGGCUGUCGUCAGCUCGUG